rnacentral:rRNA from 1 species
UGGGGAAUAUUGCACAAUGGGCGCAAGCCUGAUGCAGCAACGCCGCGUGAACGAUGAAGGUCUUCGGAUCGUAAAGUUCUGUUGCAGGGGAAGAUAAUGACGGUACCCUAUGAGGAAGCCCCGGCUAACUACGUGCCAGCAGCCGCGGUAAUACGUAGGGGGCUAGCGUUAUCCGGAUUUAUUGGGCGUAAAGCGAGCGCAGGCGGUUAGAAAAGUCUGAAGUGAAAGGCAGUGGCUCAACCAUUGUAGGCUUUGGAAACUGUUUAACUUGAGUGCAGAAGGGGAGAGUGGAAUUCCAUGUGUAGCGGUGAAAUGCGUAGAUAUAUGGAGGAACACCGGUGGCGAAAGCGGCUCUCUGGUCUGUAACUGACGCUGAGGCUCGAAAGCGUGGGGAGCGAACAGG